rnacentral:rRNA from 1 species
UACGUAGGGUCCAAGCGUUAUCCGGAAUCACUGGGCGUAAAGCGUGCGUAGGCGGGAGUUUAAGUGCAAUGCGAAAUCUUGUGGCUCAACCAUAUAGACUGUAUUGCAUACUGGACACCUAGAGGACGGCAGAGGCAAGUGGAAUUACUGGUGUAGCAGUGAAAUGCGUAGAUAUCAGGAGGAACACCUGUGGCGAAAGCGGCUCACUGGACCAUAACUGACGCUGAUGCACGAAAGCUAGGGGAGCAAACAGG